rnacentral:rRNA from 2 species
CAAAGUUACUAAGGGCAUACGGUGGAUGCCUUGGGACAUGGAGGCGAUGAAGGACGUGGUAAGCUGCGAUAAGCUGCGGUGAGGUGCAAACAACCUGUUACCCGCAGAUUUCCGAAUGGGGAAACCCGGUCCGGGUUAUGCCGGAUCACUCCUUCCUGAAUAUAUAGGGAAGGCAGAGCGAACGAGGAGAAUUGAAAUAUCUUAGUAUCCUCAGGAAAAGAAAACAAACGUGAUUUCCACAGUAGCGACGAGCGAACCGGAAAGAGCCUAAACCUGUUAUAUGUCAAUCCUGUUGGAGUUGUAUAACAGGGGUUGUGGGAAAGAGCAUGGUGUGGCAACAGACACACCAGCAAGUCAAAAAAACAUCAGAUAGAAGAAUAUUCUGGAAAGAAUAGCCAUAGAAGGUGACAGCCCUGUAUUUUAAAUGUGGUGUUCUUGCCGCUCUUCUCCCGAGUAGCAUGGAGCACGUGGAAUUCCAUGCGAAUCUGUUCCGACCACGGGAUAAGGCUAAAUACUCCCAUGUCACCGAUAGUGCAUAGUACCGUGAGGGAAAGGUGAAAAGUACGCGUAAAAGCGAGUGAAAUAGAACCUGAAACCGUAUGCCUACAAGCGGUCGGAGUCCGAGGGCCGAACCAGUUGAUGUUGAAAAAUCUUUGGAUGAACUGUGGAUAGGGGUGAAAGGCCAAUCAAACUCAGCGAUAGCUGGUUCUCCCCGAAAUAGCUUUAGGGCUAGCCUUAAUGGAGUGUUACGGAGGUAGAGCACUGAAUGGACUAGGGGGCUUCACCGCCUACCAAACCCAAUCAAACUCCGAAUGCCGUAACAUGCUCAUUAGGAGAUAGACUGCGAGGGAUAAGCUCCGUAGUCAAAAGGGAAACAACCCAGACCGACAGCUAAGGUCCCUAAAUGUACGUUAAGUGAUAAAGGAUGUGGAAUUACUCAGACAGCUAGGAGGUUGGCUUAGAAGCAGCCAUUCCUUUAAAGAGUGCGUAAUAGCUCACUAGUCAAGUGAUUCUGCGCCUAUAAUUUCCGGGACUGUCAAACGUACUACCGAAGCUUCGGAAUCCGGUGAUGAACCGGAUUGGUAGGGGAGCGUUCCAUUAACCGCUGAAGGUAGACCCGUGAGGGCUGCUGGAGGAGAUGGAAAUGAGGAUGCAGGCACGAGUAACGAUAAUCCCGGUGAAAUUCCGGGACACCGAAAGCCUAAGGUUUCCUGAGUAAAGUAAAUCUGCUCAGGGUUAGUCGGCCCCUAAGGCGAGGCCGAAGGGCGUAGUCGAUGGGAAACAGGUUAAUAUUCCUGUACCAGUGGCAAACCGUUUGAACUAUGGGGUGGCGCAGAAGUGAAAGAUCAGCCGUCUGACGAAAUAGAUGGUCUAAGCGUGUAGGGAGUCCUUCCAGGCAAAUCCGGAAGGAUAAUUCUGAGACGUGAUGGGGAGUCCUUUGGACACAAACUGAUCCUAAUCAUACUGACAAGAAAAACCUCUAUGUGAGGGUUGUCACUGACCGUACCGUAAACCGACACAGGUAGGCGGGAUGAAUAUUCUAAGGUGCUUGGAUGAACUCAGGUCAAGGAACUCGGCAAACUGACCUCGUAACUUCGGGAUAAGAGGUACCUCGAGUAUGUGAUGUAAUUCGCUUACGGAGCAGAAAGAGGUCGCAGUGAAAUGGCCCAAGCGACUGUUUAACAAAAACACAGGUCUCUGCUAAAUCGUAAGAUGAUGUAUAGGGACUGACACCUGCCCGGUGCUGGAAGGUUAAGGGGAUGUGUCAUUCUUCCGCUUCGGCGGGAGGAGAAGCACUGAGCUGAAGCCCCAGUAAACGGCGGCCGUAACUAUAACGGUCCUAAGGUAGCGAAAUUCCUUGUCGGGUAAGUUCCGACCUGCACGAAUGGUGCAACGAUUUGGGCGCUGUCUCGACCUGAGAUCCAGUGAAACUGUAGCGUCGGUGAAGAUGCCGGCUACCCGCGGCAGGACGGAAAGACCCCGUGAACCUUUACUACAGCCUGAUAUUGGGUUUUGAUUCCGCAUGUAGAGUAUAGGUGGGAGACUGUGAAGCGUGGACGCCAGUCUGCGUGGAGUCACCGUUGGAAUACCACCCUUGCGUUGUCGGAAUUCUAACGCGAUUCCGUGAAUCCGGAAUGCGAACAGUGUCAGGUGGGUAGUUUGACUGGGGCGGUCGCCUCCUAAAAUGUAACGGAGGCGCUCAAAGGUUCCCUCAGUACGGUUGGUAAUCGUACGCUGAGUGUAAAGGCAAAAGGGAGCUUGACUGCGAGAGAGACAUUUCGAGCAGGUGGGAAACCAGGACUUAGUGAUCCGGCGGUUGCAAGUGGAAGCGCCGUCGCUCAUCGGAUAAAAGGUACUCCGGGGAUAACAGGCUUAUCUCCCCCAAGAGUUCACAUCGACGGGGAGGUUUGGCACCUCGAUGUCGGCUCGUCACAUCCUGGGGCUGGAGAAGGUCCCAAGGGUUGGGCUGUUCGCCCAUUAAAGUGGCACGCGAGCUGGGUUCAGAGAUAAGCACUGAAAGCAUAUAAGUGCGAAACUCACCUCAAGACAAGAUUUCCCUGAAGAGUCCUUGUAGACGACAAGGUUGAUAGGCCACAGAUGUAAGCUCAGUAAUGAGUUAAGUCGAGUGGUACUAAUUACUCGUUUGACUUUGUCAAUCUUUUAAUUUUUUCAGUCGGUAGCUGCAGCAUCUGUUGU